CGUCUGUAAAGCAGGAAAGUUUCAGUUUUUCAUCUGACUGAAUGCUGAAUACUUUCUGCGCUGCGUCCUCAGCUUUGGGACGCGCCGGUUGUGCGUGUUGUUGUUUUGCUUGUUUUGGUGACGGCUUGGAGCGAGUUGUCAGACUGUUGCCAUGGCGACAGGCGGACAUGAUGAGCCCGAAUCAAAGCUCUGCCUGGAAUAGCGCCGCCUGCUGACCGAGGCAACUCGUUUGGAGGAUGAUUUACAGGCAGCAGACCCUGAUGGUUUUCUGCUUCAUGAACUGAAUCUUGAGCAGAAACUGUUUCCUGUUUGGUCGGCUGGAGCUGCUGCGAUGUGGCGAAGGUGUGAGACGACCAGAGAGACGCCGCACAGCUGGAGACCAUCAUGCAGAGAAACGGGACACUGCACGUGAGGGAGCCGCUGCAGCCGGUUCUGUUUCCAGGACUGAACCCAAACUGGAACAUGAAGGUUUAAUCGGAUUCAAACCAGCAACAAAACGGCCUGAUGACGGACGUUUCACCAAACAUCUGGAUCCUCCGUGUCUCUUCAUGAGACGCCGGAAUAAAAAUCUCAAUUCUUCCCUCUGCGCCCGUUAUCCGUGUUGCCGCCAAGAAACGGACCAGGAAGACGGCGUCGCAGUCCGUCAGUCAGCUCUGAUCCCACCAGAACCAGAACCAGAACCAGAACCAGAACCAGAACCAGGGAGUUACUGUCUUCUACUCCUUACUUACAUACAAGAGAAAAAACUGUUUUACUCAGAGCAGUAAAAAAAAGAAAAAAUCUUAUUUACAUGAUAAAAACCUUAAUUUCUUUGUUAUUAGUAAUAAAAAAUCAAAUUCUUGAAUAUUCUCAGGAAUCGUUUCCUUUCUGGUAACGAACGUCUUUAAAAACAAAAUACUGUUGACUUCACUAUGUGCUUUGUGAUCUUUUACUAUGUAUUUAGUCGUUUAUUUAUUAAAGAUUAUUAUUGUUAUUA